rnacentral:lncRNA from 10 species
CUUUGAUCUUCACUGCCAAGAAUAAAACUGAAGUGGUCUUGAGGAGAGUCAAAUGAAGACCUAUUUCUCAAACGACUAAAACCAACUCAAGGUGCCUAUUCCAAAUGAAGUAAACAUGUGCCUGUCUGGGCCGUUGAAGAAUGAGAGGUUUGUGAAGCAAAGCUGAGAUGCUUCAGUCUUCCAACCAUGGACAUCGUCAGUCAGCUGACAGCCAGCUAACCCCAGACAUGAGAAUGAGCCCAGCCAAGAUCAGUAGCACCACCGAAGCCACUAACAGUCAACCACAGAGGUGUGAGUAAUAAAUAUUCAUUGUGGC